GUAGCGGUGAAAUGCUUAGAUAUCACGAAGAANUCCGAUUGCGAAGGCAGCUUGCUGGACUGUAACUGACGCUGAGGCACGAAAGCGUGGGGAUCAAACAGGAUUAGAUACCCUGGUANNCCACGCCGUAAACGAUGAAUGCUAGCUGUNAGCGAUAUACUGUUAGCGGCACAGAGAAAUCGUUAAGCAUUCCACCUGGGGAGUACGCCGGCAACGGUGAAACUCAAAGGAAUUGACGGGGGCCCGCACAAGCGGAGGAACAUGUGGUUUAAUUCGAUGAUACGCGAGGAACCUUACCUGGGCUUAAAUUGCAGUGGAAUAACGUGGAAACAUGUUAGCCUUCGGGCCGCUGUGAAGGUGCUGCAUGGUUGUCGUCAGCUCGUGCCGUGAGGUGUCGGCUUAAGUGCCAUAACGAGCGCAACCCUCAUCGAUAGUUACUAACAGGUUAAGCUGAGGACUCUAUCGAGACUGCCGACGUAAGUCGUGAGGAAGGUGGGGAUGACGUCAAAUCAGCACGGCCCUUACGUCCAGGGCUACACACGUGUUACAAUGGGGGGUACAAAGGGCAGCUACCUGGCGACAGGAUGCUAAUCUCAAAAACCUCUCUCAGUUCGGAUUGGAGUCUGCAACCCGACUCCAUGAAGCUGGAUUCGCUAGUAAUCGCGCAUCAGCCACGGCGCGGUGAAUACGUUCCCGGGCCUUGUACACACCGCCCGUCAAGCCAUGGGAGCCGGGGGGACCUGAAGUAUGCAACCGUAAGGAGCGUCCUAGGGUAAAACUGGUGACUGGGGCU
rnacentral:rRNA from 1 species